AGAUGUUAAAAGCAAGAGACAUGGGAGAUCAUCAUUCCCUUGAGAUUUUCUGUAAGUUAUUUUUAGAAAAUAAAUUUUUCUGUUGUCUCCUGCCAGUUUACUUCACAUUUUGAUGCAACAACAGUGUGAUUAUGUGCUCAUUUCAUUAAGACCAUUGAUGUCUGUGUUUUUUAUUGCAGAACUCAAACCAACUUUGGAGUUGUCUGAUUUGGAGAGUCAUUAUUCUUGGUCUGCGCUCUUAGAGGCCACUGAUGAAGAACAGGCGGUGACUGGGAUGAAUGCUGGUCAGAGAGGAGAAUCUUCUUUCCCCUAAACAGCAGUGGUUUUAAAGGAGGACGCUGCCCUGGAUGAUGUAGAAGAUGUCACAUGCUGUGCUGAUGGGGUUUCUUCAUGAUUACAUCAGUUAUGCUAAAGAGAUCAUGAAAAUUGACCGUGAUGCAUGAUCUGUAUUCAUGGACUAUGAAACAAACUGUAAGUGUAUAAUUUGUUAAAAAAAAAAAAGUUAAAUGCUUUUUCUGUGUUGUUUAGUAGAAAAGUUUACACUCUGUCAUUCAUACACCUGCUCACAUUCUUUCACACACACACACACACACACACACACACACACAUGCGUCUGUUAAAGGUUAUAAUAUCAAAGUUAAUGUUGUGAUUUGUGUACUGUCAUGCCAGAAUAGUUGAAAAAAAAACUAACUAAUUGUAAAUUUAUUGUAUGUGUUUUCGUAUAUUUUUAUACAAUAUAUACAAUUGAACAAAGUCCAAUUUGAUCUUAAGUUAUAUUCAUCAAAUGUUCAAUGCUUUGUUUAUGAACUCUGUAGCUGUUAAUGCCAUCCUUUUCUGCAUUUCUUCUAACAUGUUACUUUUUGACUUUUCUCUUGUUUUUAAUAAAUAUUUUCCUUUUGGUAAUUAUUAUUUGUGUGUAAAAGUGAUAUUUAAAAUGAACAACAUUUGUAGGUUUAAUGCCUAGCUCAAUUUGGGUUAAUUUUAACGUAGAAAUGCAUUGUUUCCCCACAUGGCUGCACUCUGCGAGUUUAUUUUCUGCCAGCAGGAGGCGCUAAGAGCGGGAGAGGUAGGUUUCUCCGGUAACGGCUGCAGAGCGGCGCUGAGCUCACAAACGCUGCCUUAUCAAGCACAUGCGAAAUGAUAUCGAACAUUUUCUAAAUACAGUAGUUUUCCUUCUGAAAUACAGUGAUAAAAAAACACCCGCUCUGUUUUUUUAAACCCUGCAAUAUAGUCAUUUUAAACCAUAAAAAAGGCAACCCAGCAGGCUGGGUUAAAUAUGAUAACCCAACUGGUUGGGUUAAAACAACCCAGCGCUGGGUUCGUCCCUUUUUGACCCAGCGCUGGGUUGUCAAAAUAACCCAAAUUGGGUUGUUUUCAACCCAGCAGUUUUUAGAGUGUGUAUAUA
rnacentral:lncRNA from 1 species